CGGUAGUUGGGACGUCGGGCGAAGAGAGCAGGUGAGCGGGCAGGCAGGAGUCGGUACACAGGGGAACAAUCAACGCAGGCAGAAGUAUCAAAGGAGUCAGGCUUACAAGGUUGGUCGGAGAACAGGCGAAGGUCGGUACAUACAGGUUCGAUCAGGGAUACCGGAGCAAACGAACGGGACACGAAGAUCAACGAACUGGCGCCGGCCAGUUGUCAUCGUGGUCAUAUAAAUCCACAACAUAAUCAGGCUGCAUGAGGCGCAGGUGUGCACCUCCCAAUCAGCGCACCUGCGCAGACACCCGGACAGCUCGUGCUGGAGCGGCAGGAUCAUGACAAGUAAUUUGUGCAUACCAGGGCGGCAACGACUGGCCUAUGAUGCAGUCAGACACCAACCUCUGUGUCCAGUGUCCCUCUGUGUCCAGUCUCCCUCUAUGCACCAGAACAUAACGCAUUGUAGCCAGGGUGUGCGGACUGCCCCAGCUACAUGAGGAUGCUCUCCACGGUAGUUCUAUUGAAAGCCAGCAGCACGAAGUGGGGUCACUGGUGUAUUGCUGGUUGCCAGUUCAUUGCAUGAAACUGCAUUAGUUUGCAUGAGUAUACGACCCUCUUGUUGUGUAUUCGCCUCGUUGUCAUGGCCAGCAAUCUUUUGCCACCAUAGCUAAGUCUAGUCUUGUUUUUGCCUAGGAGUUACCUAACCUCAUUUUCAUGUUUUUGGAGAUUGCCUCUUGCCACAUGUUUUUGUGCCUUUGCCUUUUUUGCACUGCUUACCUGUGUAUGACCGCUGCCUGGAUUAAAACCACCCUCAACAUAAUGUCACUGCCCCAGAGUCCUGUAUUUGGGUCCUAUCCCUUGUCCCAUGCUCAUGAUGAUAAGCGGCUCAGAAAAUGGAUGGAUGGAUGGAUGGGUUUUCUUUGAGUAAUCCAGCUUCCUACCGCAUUCCAAACAUGUUAAUGUUUAAUUGAUGCCUUGAAAUAGGCCAAAGGUGUAAUUUUAUGUCUGAAUGCUUGUCUACAGUAUAUACUGGACAGUAUGCACUUGCAACUGACUGGCAACCAUUUAUCAGUGUACCCUGCCUUUCACCCAAAAUAAACUGGAAUACAUACGGUCACCCGCAACUUCACUGAGGACAAGUUGUAAAGAAAAUGAAUGGAUUGACAUUGGUUAAGCUUUCACAGCCCGCUGCCCUAAGAGAUUUAAACAUCAUGUUAUUCAUGGCAACAGAAGAGGUGUGCAACAUUUGAAAUGUUGAGGUACCCCUCCCCUUCAAAGUAGUGAAGC